rnacentral:rRNA from 1 species
CAGCCGCCGCGGGAAUACCAGCAGCCCAAGUGGUGGUCGCGAUUAUUGGGCCUAAAGCGCUCGUAGCCGGGCCGGUAAGUCCCUUGUGAAAUCGGACGGCCUAACCGUUCGGCGUGCAAGGGAUACUGUCGGUCUUGGGGCCGGGAGACGUCCGAGGUACUCCGGGGGUAGCGGUGAAAUGUUCUGAUCCUCGGGGGACCACCGGUGGCGAAGGCGUUCGACGAGAACGGGCCUGACGGUGAGGGGCGAAGGCUAGGGGAGCAAACGGGAUUAGAUACCCCAGUAGUCCCUGUCUCUUAUA